rnacentral:rRNA from 1 species
UGGGGAAUAUUGCACAAUGGGCGCAAGCCUGAUGCAGCGACGCCGCGUGAGGGAUGAAUGCCUUCGGGUUGUAAACCUCUUUCAGCAGGGAAGAAGCGAAAGUGACGGUACCUGCAGAAGAAGCGCCGGCUAACUACGUGCCAGCAGCCGCGGUAAUACGUAGGGCGCAAGCGUUGUCCGGAAUUAUUGGGCGUAAAGAGCUCGUAGGCGGUUUGUCGCGUCUGCUGUGAAAGCCCGGGGCUCAACCCCGGGUCUGCAGUGGGUACGGGCAGACUAGAGUGCAGUAGGGGAGACUGGAAUUCCUGGUGUAGCGGUGAAAUGCGCAGAUAUCAGGAGGAACACCGAUGGCGAAGGCAGGUCUCUGGGCUGUAACUGACGCUGAGGAGCGAAAGCAUGGGGAGCGAACAG